UCUCUGGUGGCUUAGUGGUAAAGAAUCUGCCUGUCAUGCAGGAGAUGUAGGUUCGAUCCCUGGUGGGGAA
rnacentral:tRNA from 1 species